rnacentral:rRNA from 1 species
AUUCUGGCUCAGAAUGAACGCUGGCGGCGUGCCUAAGACAUGCAAGUCGCACGUGAAAGUAGCAAUAUGAGUAAAGUGGCGCACGGGUGAGUAAUAAUUAGGUAAUGCUCCUAUUCGCUGAGAAUAACCAGGCGAAAGCUUGGCUAAUACUGAAUGAUCCGUUUGUAACUGCGGUUAUGAACGGUAAAGCCGUAAGGCGCGAAUAGAGUAGCCUAAUUCCUAUCAGCUAGUUGGCGGGGUAAAGGCCCACCAAGGCUACGACGGGUAACUGGUCUGAGAGGACGACCAGUCACACUGGAACUGGAACACGGUCCAGACUCCUACGGGAGGCAGCAGUUAGGAAUUUUGCGCAAUGGACGAAAGUCUGACGCAGCAACGCCGCGUGAGGGAUGAAGGCCUUAGGGUUGUAAACCUCUUUUAGUCGGAACGAAAUAAAUGACGGUACCGACAGAAAAAGCACCGGCUAACUCUGUGCCAGCAGCCGCGGUGAUACAGAGGGUGCAAGCGUUAUUCGGAA